CACUGACAUUAGAUACCCCCGUAGUCCCAGCCGUAAACUAUGCGCGUUAGGUGUAUCGGUGACCACGAGUUACCGAGGUGCCGAAGGGAAACCGUGAAACGUGCCGCCUGGGAAGUACGGUCGCAAGGCUGAAACUUAAAGGAAUUGGCGGGGAGCACCACAACAGGUGGAGCCUGCGGUUUAAUUGGACUCAACGCCGGGAAGCUCACCGGAUAGGACAGCAGAAUGAUUGCCGGGCUGAAGACCCUGCAUGACUAGCUG
rnacentral:rRNA from 1 species